UGGCUGCAGGAACCUCUCCCCCUAGUGAUGCAGUUAUUUAUAGCCCAAACUCCAGCCCGAGUCUGCGUGUGUUCGCGCGCGGGGUUUCGCCGCGGCGGUGCAAACUUUUCCUCUGGUCCGCUAUUCCAGAGGAAUCAUUGUGACACUGCUCAAAAGCAAGAGACUUCCAUUGACAGGGUUUAUUUUUCCCCAGCUCCAACUACAGGCACCGAAAGGUAUUU
rnacentral:lncRNA from 1 species